AUAUCAAUAAGCGGAGGAAAAGAAACUAACAAGGAUUCCCCUAGUAACGGCGAGUGAAGAGGGAAGAGCUCAAAUUUUGAAUCUGGCGUCUCUGGCGUCCGAAUUGUAAUCUAGAGAAGUGUUUUCCGUGACGGACCGUGCAUAAGUCUCCUGGAAUGGAGUGUCAUAGAGGGUGAGAAUCCCGUAUAUGGCACGGACUCCCGUUGCUCUGUGAUACACUCUCGACGAGUCGAGUUGUUUGGGGAUGCAGCUCUAAAUGGGUGGUAAAUGCCAUCUAAAGCUAAAUAUUGGCCAGAGACCGAUAGCGCAACAAGUAGAGUGAUCGAAAGAUGAAAAGCACUUUGGAAAGAGAGUUAAACAGUAC
rnacentral:rRNA from 1 species